UACGUAGGUGGCAAGCGUUAUCCGGAUUUAUUGGGCGUAAAGAGCGCGCAGGUGGUUGAUUAAGUCUGAUGUGAAAGCCCACGGCUUAACCGUGGAGGGUCAUUGGAAACUGGUCGACUUGAGUGCAGAGGAGGGAAGUGGAAUUCCAUGUGUAGCGGUGAAAUGCGUAGAGAUAUGGAGGAACACCAGUGGCGAAGGCGGCUUCCUGGUCUGUAACUGACACUGAGGCGCGAAAGCGUGGGGAUCAAACAGGAUUAGAUA
rnacentral:rRNA from 1 species